rnacentral:lncRNA from 1 species
GUUUAGUAGCUGAAGCCUGUUGGCCUCUGGAAAAGUGCAAUUGUAAUGUCAGAUGACUCAGCUCACCAGGUGAGCAAGAGGGUCUGUGCCUCUGCAAAACAAAGAAGUGAAAAAUUAAGAUGUAUUGCAGAGUGGUGCCUCUGUUUAUAGUUGCAGUGGCAACCAGGCUGACAGUGAAAGCAGGGGAAAAGCCCUCAGCACUCAAAAGGAAACUGAAAGAAUUGAGAAGAAAGGAUGGAUAACUGCACAGCUCAUUUUUCACGUAACAAAGGCACUGAGUGAUGCCUGCGGCACGCACCAAGCAGCUCCGAAGAGUCCCUGUGGCCACUGGAUGUCACUGUUGUUCCGCAGAAAGCAGCCCAGCAAGCUAACCCCAGGCAGGCAAUGCGAUGGCAAUGAUACAGGAGAGCGUCGUACUUUCACAUCCUCUGCAAUCUGCUGCACGAACUAGCUCUGAAGCAUCCUAGUUACGUGCAAAGAGUCCAUAUGGAUGCUAUGGGUGUCAUGUUUAUAGGUGUCAGUACUGUGUGUUUGCAUUCGAUUCUAUUCCUCAUCAACACUGUGAUGAAAUUAGCUCUACUGCAGGACUGAAGGGAAUCAAAGUGUUCAUUGUAGAGAUGUGUUUGGGCUGAGGACCAGAUUAGAGGACAGUCAGUUGUCUGGCACAUAGCCUGCAAUGGAAAUCAGUUUCUGGAUCUGAGGGUUCAACACAGAGCUGUCAUGCUUUGGUGCUUUAGGGAAGGCUUUUUCCUCUCAGAAACCAAUCUGUCUUUAGAUUAACUCUACCGAGAUGUCAAAAUUUGUUUUCCC